rnacentral:rRNA from 1 species
GGAUAACUGUGGUAAUUCUAGAGCUAAUACAUGCACCAAAGCUCUGACCUUACGGGAAGAGUGCAUUUAUUAGAACAAAACCAGGCGGCCUUCGGGUCGUUUUUUGUUGACUCAGAAUAACUAAGCUGAUCGCAUGGUCUCGUACCGGCGACGUGUCUUUCAAGUGUCUGCCUUAUCAACUUUCGAUGGUAGUGUAUGUGACUACCAUGGUUGUGACGGGUAACGGAGGAUAAGGGUUUGACUCCGGAGAAGGGGCCUGAGAAAUGGCCACUACGUCUAAGGAUGGCAGCAGGCGCGCAAAUUACCCACUCUCAGAAUGAGGAGGUAGUGACGAGAAAUAACGAGACCGUUCUCUUAGAGGCCGGUCAUCGGAAUGGGUACAAUCUAAACCCUUUAACGAGUAUCUAUGAGAGGGCAAGUCUGGUGCCAGCAGCCGCGGUAAUUCCAGCUCUCAAAAUGCAUAGAAUUAUUGCUGCGGUUAAAAAGCUCGUAGUUGGAUCUGUGCCGCAGGACUCGGUCCGCCUUCGGGCGCGCACUGAGCUCCUCGGCUUUUCUGCUGGUUUUCCCGUUAUGGUCUUAACCGGCCGUAGCGGGUGGCUGGCGAUUUUACUUUGAACAAAUCAGAGUGCUCAACACAGGCGUUUCGCUUGAAUGUUCUUGCAUGGAAUAAUAGAAGAGGAUUUCGGUCCUAUUUUAUUGGUUUUAUAGGCUGAAAUAAUGGUUAAUAGAGACAAACGGGGGCAUUCGUAUCGCUGCGUGAGAGGUGAAAUUCUUGGACCGCAGCGAGACGAACUACAGCGAAAGCAUUUGCCAAGAAUGUCUUCAUUAAUCAAGAACGAAAGUCAGAGGUUCGAAGGCGAUCAGAUACCGCCCUAGUUCUGACCGUAAACGAUGUCAACUAGCGAUCCGCCGAAGGAAUAUUUGCCUUGGUGGGGAGCUUACCGGAAACGAAAGUUUUUAGAUUCCGGGGGAAGUAUGGCUGCAAAGCUGAAACUUAAAGGAAUUGACGGAAGGGCACCACCAGGAGUGGAGCCUGCGGCUUAAUUUGACUCAACACGGGAAAACUCACCCGGCCCGGACACCGUGAGGAUUGACAGAUUGAUAGCUCUUUCAUGAUUCGGUGGAUGGUGGUGCAUGGCCGUUCUUAGUUCGUGGAGCGAUUUGUCUGGUUUAUUCCGAUAACGAGCGAGACUCUAGCCUACUAAAUAGUCCGCCCAUUGCUUCUGUGUGGCGUGACUUCUUAGAGGGAUUUUCGGUGUACAGCCGCACGAAAUUGAGCAAUAACAGGUCUGUGAUG